rnacentral:rRNA from 1 species
ACGGGGUGCAGCAGGCGCGAAACCUCUACAAUGCGCGAAAGCGUGAUAGGGGAAGUCUGAGUGGCGGUAGCAAUGCUAUCGUCUUUUACCAAGUGUAAAUAGCUUGGAGAAUAAGGGUGUGGGCAAACACACCCUUAUCGGUGGAUUAACAGUCGAUAGGGAGUGGCCUAUGACUGGUGGCAGCCGCCGCGGUAACACCAGCGCCUCGAGUGAUAUCCACGAAUACUGGGCCUAAAGCGUCCGUAGCCGGAUUAGUAAGUCCACUGUGAAAUGUUGGGGCUCAACCCUAACGCUUGCAGUAGAUACUGCUGAUCUCGGGAACGGGGGAGGGUCGGAGUACGUCCAGGGUAGGGGUAAAAUCCGUUGAGCCUGGACGGACUACCAGUGGCGAAGGCGCCGAUCCAAAACGUGUCCGACGGUGAGGGACGAAAGCUAGGGGAGCGAACGGGAUUAGAUACCCCGGUAGUCCUAGCUGUAAAUAAUGCUGACUGUGGUGUUGCAUAUGAGUAAUCAUAUGCAGUGCUGUAGCGUAGGUCUUAAGUCAGCCGCCUGGGGAGUACGAUCGCAAGAUUUAAACUUAAAGGAAUUGGCGGGGGAGCACCACAAGCCGUGGAUGCUACGGUUUAAUUGGAUACAACGCCGGAAAUCUGACCAGUGGAGACGGCAGAAUGACAGCCAGGCUGAAGGUCUUGCUUGACGAGCCGAGAGGUAUUGCAUGGCCAUCGUCAGCUCGUG